CUACAGCAGUACUAUCCUGGUGUGCUGAUGGAGGCUUCUGCAGGGAGUAGGCUAAUACCUCAACAGUGGAGACAAUGUAUUCACAGGUUUCAGAGUGUGGCUACUUGCUGUGAAAGCUGAGAAUGAAGCACUGCAUUAGCAAGUCCUGAAGAUCCUUUCCAGCUCUUUGAUUAUUUGACAUUCUGACUGGCACAAAGAGGCACACCUGCAAUCCUACUGAGCGUUCCAUGGAUCAUUAAUGAUUUUUCAUAGUGAAGGAAGCAGAGGUUUUGUGACUCAUACUGGCUUGCUUGCUCCUCAGCUUGCAGACGACCUAUUGUGGAACUUCACCACGUGAUCAUGAGUUUUCUCCUUGUACACAACUUUAAGAUUGACUUGCUCAUUCAUUGCGGUGAGUAGUAAGACGCAAACCUUCAAUCUCCAUAUGCCUCAGGUAAGUCUUAAAAGCAAAAUAUGUUCUGCAUAAAGGUGGAAGAAUAAUGAUUUAGAAUCUGUGUAGUACAGAAAUAGGAUAAUGUCGAACCUGCUCCUCUCCUAGGCCUGUGGUACUUUGGGUGCUGGAAUUAGGCAGUUACUACCAAGGAUUGCUGCAAAAGAAGCAGUGAUGUUAGGUGAAUAAAUAUUUUGGUACAGAAAUGCCAACAAUAGGUGGUUCAUCUCAAAUAAAACCAAUAGAUCAACUGCCCAACUUUGUUAGCUUGCUAGGAAGUUAGUUAUAAUUACAACUAGAGUCUAAGGCAUAUUUUCUAGUCAUUAACAUAUUCCAUACAAUCUUGAUAGCAUUAUUCCAAAAACCAAGAUCAUAUCAUUAAUUUAAACCUAUUCCAUGCAGUGACUAUUCAGAGAAAGUAAAUAGUAUCUUCUCUUAAUAGAUGUAUGCUCUUUUGUACCAUAGAUUAUCUUUACAGUAGUAACUUGGCACUAAUUUGACUUUCAAAAUUGAACUGCUGCUGAUAAAUCUCUUAAAAAGUCUUUUUUAUAUGUAGUAAAAUGUUUAAGAAACAUUUAAAAAGUUAGAACAAAAAGAUAAAAUGAGAAACAGAAUAUGAAAUAAAUCAGUGUAAGACCUUGGUAUUAUACCAAGGUCAGGAAGACAGUUCAGUAGAAUUCAAAUUAUUAUUGUAUUGCUGUUCUUUACUUUGGGAAAGGUGUAUGUGUAUGUAAGAAGUUGCACAUAUAGUGCCAAACAAAUGUCUUCAAAUUUAAGAACAAUGCCCAUGAAAGGAAAAUCAACCUAACAAGAAGGAAAGAAAUGUUAGUAUUUAUAACAGAAGAAACCUUAAAAGGAAGGGGUUAUGAUCUUGUAUAAGAGUAUACAUAUAUAAGUAGAUAGAUACACAUAUUAUAAAUAUAUUGACAUAUGAACAUACUUAACUACAACAUAGCUGAUAUUCUAAAAAUAAAAUAUCGAAUUGUGAUUUUGUGUAUGUUUCUUUUCAGUAAACAAAGGGUAUUUAAGGAAAUAUAAAAAUUAAUGCAAUGGAAAAUAUAUAUUUGCCUGUGAUAGUACUAAAAUUUGUUACUGGAUAUUUCAAUUAAACUUAAAAAUGUAAAAAGACAAAACGAGGAAGCAACAAAGAGAUUUGCAGCACAGCAAAAAAUGGCCACCAAGAGAUCACAUUUGUCUUCUCUGCACCUGGCUUGGUCUGACAGUACUUCAAAAUUGUACUGGGGAUUCUGGCACCAUUUUUAUAAAGGUAAAGAUUGGGUAACUUGACAUCCAAAAGAAAGUUAAUAUAAUAAUUGGUUUUACAUGUGACUAUAUCCUCAGUUUCAUCAUAUUUACUAAAGGAGAAAGAAAAACCUGACUUAUAAAUGUGGCUCACCUUAUUUAAAAUUACUUAGCCUGUGGAAUAAAUAAAUUGUGGUGGACAGAAUCUAAGGUUGCAUUCAUGGUCCCUGACUCCUGGUGUUCAUGUCCUUACAUGACUCUUUCCCCUAGAGCAUGGGUGGGAAAUAUGACUUGCUUCUAAGCUCUAGCAUAUGCAAAGGGGAUGAGAUGUAUGUGACUGUGCAUACGUGGUUACAUGAUUACAUGACAUAAGAUGAAGUGCCGUCUUGCUGGAGUCUCUCACUGCCUUGUUGACUAUGAAGAUGGAAGUUGCCAUGUGGUGGGCUGCCUAUGUUGGGAGACCCACAGAGGAAAGAACUGAGAGAGCCUACAGGCUGAUGGUGGCCUCCAUCCAACAGUCAGCAAGAAAUGAAGCCUUCAGUCCUGCAGCUGCCAUUUUCGACUAAGCGUUCCAUCUAACUCAUCACAAAGGCUUCCAGAAAAGGCAUGAAAAGAAGAAAUACAAAGGAGGACUGUUCAGCUGAUGUCAAAGGACUAACUCUUGGUCUAAAUUUUUCAUUUUUCAGUGAAUUACAACAUGCAGGACUUUAACAAUGACUCUGAAUACAUUUUAAGGAACAAAAUAAAAGUGAGGAUUGCCACUUUACAAUCUCCGAUCCAAGAAGCUACAUGUUCUUUUAGGCAGAUUGACACAAGCUUUAAGUGAGCAAAGGGCUGAAAGCAGAGUAUUUUCAGUCACUGAAUUAUACAUAUUAUAAAUGUGACUUCUGUUGAAUGUGAAUUAUA